rnacentral:rRNA from 1 species
UACGAAGGGGGCUAGCGUUGUUUGGAAUUACUGGGCGUAAAGCGCACGUAGGCGGACUACUAAGUCAGGGGUGAAAUCCCGGGGCUCAACCCCGGAGCUGCCUUUGAUACUGAUAGUCUCGAGUCCGGAAGAGGUGAGUGGAAUUCCGAGUGUAGAGGUGAAAUUCGUAGAUAUUGGGAAGAACACCGAUGGCGAAGGCAGCCAUCUGGACCGACACUGACGCUGAGGCGCGAAAGCGUGGGGAGCAAACAGG